rnacentral:lncRNA from 13 species
CUUGUUUUUAAUGUCUUUUUGGAUAUUUUUUGCAUUUUUUUCAGCACUACUUUUUAGAUAGUGCUUCAUUUUCUGACAGUCAUGGUUUUGGAUGAUUGAUAAUCCUUCUAAUCAGUGUUCCCAUAUAUUCAAUGCUUUAUUUUCCUCUAGUUGCUGUUGGUAUCCUGGACCUAGCAUAGAACGUCAACACCAAGACAAAAGUAUGCCAAAUUGCAGGGUUUAUUGCCGGCAACCACGGAGGACUCACGUCUCUCCAACCCGUGGCAGGGAAAGAAGGGUGACAAGACCUUUUUAUACCGGGACAUGGAUGAAUCUGGAAACCAUAAUUCUCAGCAAACUGACACAAGAACAGAAAAUCAAACACCGCAUGUUCUCCCUCCUAGGCGGGUGUUGAACAAAGAGAACACAUGGACACAGAAUGAGAAGCAGUAACUACAGGCCUGGGAGACCCUGCUGCUCUGCCCUUCUGGCUUCAAAUAAGCCCCAAGAUGAGGAAUAAAUAGUAAUGUGAAAAAGCA